CUAUGAAAAUGAAGUAAGAAACUUUCUCCAGAUUGAUGGCUGCCCUGGGAUCUGCAGCAGCUUACGGAUCCUCGAGAACUGCUGCAUUUUCAGAACUGCCUGGUGUAAGCUAACAUACAUUUGCAGUGCCAGCACUGGUCAGGAUGCUAAGGUAAAAGGAUUUCUAUACAGGAUGGAAGAUGAGAUUACAGAGCAUUUUCUGCAGACAGUCACUUCUAAAGUCAAGGAAACACUGAAGGAUCACUUCAAAAAAUGUGACAGUGGUUUCAACCACAUCCUGAAUCCUUAAAGCAAAGCUUUUUGGCAUUUGGGAAGAAAAAAACAGACAUAUAUGAGGCCCUCGUCAAGUCUGUGAACAUCAUCAUUAUUACAGAAUAUGUGCAAGCCCUCCUGACCACUUCCAGGAAACCAUCUUCUGUGCAGAGGAAGAAGAUUGUCAGCAAGAUAGAAGAAGAUCACAGGACGCUGCAAACCAUCUUUAAAGAGUGCUUAGGUCCCGCAGCUGGUGCCGUCAAGGAUCCCAUAAAAGCAGUUUUAGAACUUAUUCAAACUUCCGAUGCCGAGGGGAUGAAAAUAGCCCUGCUGCCCAUUCUCAAAGAAUUUCCUGACCUAAGGGAAGAACAUCUGAGUGCCGUGUUGGACAUCAAAGACUCGCUCAGCCGAAAAGACAGAGCUGCUCUCUUGAAGGCAUUUCACGAUAAUUGUGGGGAAACAGAAACAGAAACAACCUUGCUUUUUGCAGAUAUAGAAGUAAAACCUAGAAAAUAUGGACUCUGUGGCUGCUUCUGUUGUUAACAAAGGCCCCCUGUGAGAAACACGAGGUUCUCCCUCCCACGUGGCAGCAUCUGCAAUCACAGCUCCUUGAAAGCUUUGGGGACUUGUGCAGCCGGAUGCAUGAAGAUGCCUGGCAGCUAUGGAAGACAGAAUUCCUGCACUUCUGCAGGAAAACCACACAGCCCAAAUCCUACUCUUCUAUGCAAAGUCCAGGUGGAAGAUGAUUGGGGUAUGACAGAAAGACAUUCCUUCAAAAUGGCCUAGAGAUUGCUGCUUAGCUGAGUCCUGGUGGUUAUUCCAGGCUGUGGCACCAUGGUGUGCAGAGGAGGAAAAUUCCUCCCUGCCGAAUUUUCAUUUUCCCUCCCUUGUUUCACACAGUCUUGCAUGUAACGAGGGACUGCUGCACCAUGCAGUGUCCUAGCAGGCUACAUGGCAUUGCAACCUGCCCCAGUGACUCAGGACCCUCUGUCAGGAUGUCCUGCCUAGCCCACGGGAGCAUAGAGCAGCCACGGACAUGGGGCAGGCUGGGGCUGUGGGCUUGGGCACGUGGAUCCAGCCCCCAUAAGCCUGAGGGGGCUUCCCCCUUCCCUUUCUCCAGGCAUGUGAAGGCUGCAAUCUGUUCUGGGGACAUCCUGCCUGGGGGAAAUGCGGCCUUUCUCUUCUCACACCAAGGUUGCAAGCCCCAAGAGUAGGAGCAGGGGACAGCACUUGGCCUCGUGUUGUCUCUUGUCAGGCUGUAGGACACGUGCAGCCUGCCACGGCUCAUGGCAGCCUCCCUGCUGUGCCGGCUGUGGGAUGGGGAGCUCAUCUCAUAUGAGUUUCACAGCUGGCUCUGGAGCAGAGUUUUGCAUUCAUUUUUAUACCUCAGUUUCUGGAAAUUUCCUCUUGCUGUGGAAAGCAGCUCCUUUGGAGAGGGAGUAGAAAGCUUCAUGGGAAGUGGGCAGUGAAAGGAGUUGUUUGUCCCAGCCUCUGGGCAAGGUCUGUGCUGUUUUCAGAUGUAAAUAGGCAGUUCCUCUGGGGAAAACACUAAGUUUUCUUUCUAGUUAUCUAUGGGCUGGCCACAACCUCCGAGCUGGAUUUGGUUCAAGGCCCUCCUUUGCUAUUGUGUUAAUUUAGGUCAUUACUGUCCUGCUCUUCUCUGGCUGUGUAAACAAGUGAAAAAGCUCUGCUACCUCAGACGUGCUGGUGCUUUUCUGAGCAGCCAUUCCUGUUCCAACAUAGUUUCUCCCCCUCAUCUCUUGGCACCAAAAUGGGCUCUUGCUUAACAAGAAAAGGGGCUAGUUUGUUGCAUAACCUGCAAGCUUGUGAGGCUGGGGAUGUGUCCAGCUUGGGGACUGUGGGUCAGCACAGGCCUGCGUGGGUACCACCACGCUUUGCAGAGCCAUGCCAUGUGAACAGCCCCUUCGGAUGUACCGGCAACGAAGCCCCAUGGGCUGGGGAGUGUUGUGUGUCACGCAGCCUGUGUCUCAUAUGGGGUUCCCGUGGGGCCGUCAGUCAGCUGGCUUUGACGUGCCGCCCUGGGGACGUGCACGUCCCGCACCCCAGGCAGCUCCUCCGCCCAGGGCCUUUACCGCAGACAGGGUCCAUGGCCUGCGAACCUGAGGGAGCAGGAACAGGUUUCUGAUUGUCAUUAGCAUUGCUUCUGGCACAGCGCUGAGCGUGUGAGUCACAGGGACCAGGAACGAACAGGCUGUUUAAUCACCAGGAAGCACCGUGGGCUCUCAGAGCGCGGGGGCACUUGGGCAUUGUGGUAAUCCGUCAUUACAGGCAGGACAAGAGCGUUGGGUAGACGCCCAUGGCCUGCCUGUCCUUCCUGACUGCACAUCUGCUUCUAAGGCCCAACUGAGGCAUCUCUUGUGUUUUAUAACUGCCCUGCAUGUUUCAGUUACACAUUUCCAGGACGUGGAAAGGCUCGGUGAGGCUGGCGAGGAGCUGCAGCCUGGCAGGGUGGGUGCGGGAGGGCUUUGUGGGGCGGUGGGUGCCUGUCACCAUGUGCAGUGCUGCACUCGGAGCGGUGACGGCCCUGUCAGGCACGCCGGGUCAUUCAUCCUCCUGUGCUGCCUAAUUGCACAUUUUUUCAAGGGCAGGAAGUGAUUACAGCCCCAACUUUGUGACAACAGGAUUAGAGUCAGCCUCUGUUUAUUGGAAUUUCAAUCAACGAACCUUCCAGAGGAAAUAAAUAAAAACCCCUCUGACAUUUUGAUCGCGUCUGGUCUAAAAAUACUUCCACCGCAUUUGAAAGAUUCCUGCCACAGACGUUUUGAUUGCUGCAUCCUCAGUUUGACAUUCACAGGCAGCAAAGGGUAUUUCCCGCUGGCUGGCAGGGGCUGGGAGCCCUCGGGGAUGCCUGGCUUUCCACUGGUGACCCGCAGUGAAAUGGCCGAGGACAAGCCCCACGCAGUGGCACCUGUUUCACAGCUGCUGCUGUGCCUGUCCUUGCUGGGUGUGUGGUGACCAGGUGUAAUCUCCUGCUCUGCACGUGUGUGUAGGAUGAACACCCUUUUCCGUGAGGUUUUCUAAUGGCAAAUUUCUCCACCCUGUGUGUGGCAUCAAGUGUCGUGGACAGGGCAAAUAAAGGCUUCAGUUCAGAAAGGCAACCUGGGGCGGGGAGAUUUGUGCACGAGGUCGAGCUCUGGUGGCAUGUGGGAGGUUUUCUUGACCUGGGGCGCUCUCUGGGGAGGGGAUGAGGGGGGCCCAGCAGAUGGUGAGGGAGG